CACGUAGUUAGCCGGUGCUUAUUCUUCAGGUACCGUCAUUCGCAGACUGUGUUAGAGCUGCUGUUUCUUCCCUGACAAAAGAGCUUUACAACCCGAAGGCCUUCUUCACUCACGCGGCAUUGCUGGAUCAGGGUUGCCCCCAUUGUCCAAAAUUCCCCA
rnacentral:rRNA from 1 species